rnacentral:rRNA from 1 species
CCCUUAGAUGUUCUGGGCCGCACGCGCGCUACACUGAUGCGUUCAACAAGUUUCCUUGGCCGAGAGGCCUGGGCAAUCUUCUUAAUAUGUAUCGUGAUAGGGAUAGAUUAUUGCAAUUAUUAAUCUUGAACGAGGAAUUCCUAGUAAACGCAGAUCAUCAAUCUGCAUUGAUUACGUCCCUGCCCUUUGUACACACCGCCCGUCGCACCUACCGAUUGGAUGUUCCGGUGAAGCCUCGGGAUGAGGACUGGUGCCUUUAUUGGCAUGAGUCGUUCAGAACUUGUCUAAACCUUAUCAUCUAGAGGAAGGUGAAGUCGUAACA